AUACGGAGGGUGCAAGCGUUACUCGGAAUUACUGGGCGUAAAGGACGCGUAGGCGGUUUAGAAAGUCAGAUGUGAAAGCCUAUGGCUUAACCAUAGAACUGCAUCUGAAACUCCUAGACUAGAGUGAGGGAGAGGUCAGUGGAAUUAGUGGUGUAGGGGUAAAAUCCGUAGAGAUCACUAGGAAUACUCAUAGCGAAGGCGUCUGACUGGAACUUUACUGACGCUGAGGCGUGAAAGCGUGGGGAGCAAACAGGAUUAGAAACCCCAGUAGUCC
rnacentral:rRNA from 1 species